CGCAAUACACAUGGUGUCAUAUUCAUUAAGUCUGACGCCAUCGCGUAUUGGUU
rnacentral:pre_miRNA from 1 species